rnacentral:misc_RNA from 1 species
CGACCCUCAAGCAUAGCUUGGUGUUGGGCACGGUCCUAGGUAGGGGACCCGCCCGUAACUCGUAGGCGGCCGCCGCCCGCGCCCCCAGCGUAGCAAGCUUCACGCAUUCGCUCGGGGACGGCGCGUCUGGCCCGCCAGGCAAAACCCAAACCCUUCCCAAG